UACAGAGGUCCCAAGCGUUGUUCGGAUUCACUGGGCGUAAAGGGUGCGUAGGUGGUGAGGUAAGUCGGAUGUGAAAUCUCCGAGCUCAACUCGGAAACUGCAUUGGAAACUACCUUGCUCGAGGGUUGGAGGGGGGACUGGAAUGCUUGGUGUAGCAGUGAAAUGCGUAGAUAUCAAGCGGAACACCAGUGGCGAAGGCAGCUUGCUGGGCUACUCCUGACACUGAGGUACGAAAGCGUGGGGAGCGAACAGG
rnacentral:rRNA from 1 species